rnacentral:lncRNA from 1 species
UCAUAACAACUAGUAUUUAUUAAAUUAUUUUAAUACUAUAAUUUUUAAAUUACAAUUAUCUGACUUCAAUAUCAAAUAUUAAAUACAACCUUAUAAAUAUAAUCAAAGACAGAGAACGGGUAUGAUUGAUAUCGUUAGGUACUUGUCUUACGAUACACUUCAAUCAAACUGGUGAAUCACGGACCCAAUAACAUAUAAAGCUGUUUUAAAAGGGGCAUUUUCAUUUUCCGGAAAAAAAAAAAGAAAAGAAAAGAAAAGGGGCCUUUUUUCAGUUGUGAAAUUCCAAAAUGCCGACGUGGCAUGAUUCUAUUCGCGGUACGACCAAAAUUUGAAUCGAGAUCAAUUGCAGAGGAGUACAGCGUUAGAUUGAGUGAGGAAGGGAGUCAUUAUUUUAACUGCAGUGCAAAGUCCAACCUAACUCGCCAAAAUCCAAAACAAAAUUCAGUCACCAGUACCAAUCGCACGCGCCACAUCAUGCAGUCCGCCGAUCAUCUUGGCAGGACUAAUGAGCCCCAGACACAAACGUCUCCGCCGUUUAAUUGGAGGCGUGAUGCUGCGUGUAAGAAAGGGAAUUUGGUAUGUGCGUGCGAGCGGGUGAAGCGGCAACUGUUCUGUAAAUUUGUCCGCAUCGGUUAGAAAAACAUAACUAAAAGUUUGACACUUUGUUUUUGGGAUUUUGUCCGUUGUGGUCCAGUUGCUGCAUCUGUCGUGCCAGCGGCCUGUGGUCUUAUUUCGUUUGUCCAGUGUUAGACAUUCUAAAUUUUUCAAUCUCAAAAAAUUAUCUUAAAU